GGGAUAGCUCAGUCAGUAGAGCAUGAGACUCUUAAGGUUGUGGGUUCGAGUCCCAUGUUGCGCA